rnacentral:rRNA from 1 species
GACGAACGCUGGCGGCGUGCUUAACACAUGCAAGUCGAACGAGUGGCGGACGGGUGAGUAAUGCUUGGGAAUCUAGCUUAUGGAGGGGGAUAACUACGGGAAACUGUAGCUAAUACCGCGUACCAUAGGAUGAGCCCAAGGGGGAUUCGGUAGUUGGUGAGGUAAAGGCUCACCAAGACGACUAUCUCUAGCUGGUCUGAGAGGAUGACCAGCCACACUGGGACCGCGACCCGGCCCUGACUCCUACGGUAGGCAGCAGUGGGGUAUAUUGCGCAAUGGGGGCUACCUGACUCACCCAUGCCGCGUGAAUGAAGAAGGCCUUCGGGUUGUAAAGUUCUUUCGGUAGCGAGGCGUUGACUACAGAAGAAGCACCGGCUAACUCCGUGCCAGCCGCCGCGGUAAUUC